AGCGAACGCUGGCGGCAGGCUUAACACAUGCAAGUCGAGCGGGCCCUUCGGGGUCAGCGGCAGACGGGUGAGUAACACGUGGGAACGUACCCUUUGGUUCGGAAUAACGCUGGGAAACUAGCGCUAAUACCGGAUACGCCCUUUUGGGGAAAGGCUUGCUGCCGAAGGAUCGGCCCGCGUCUGAUUAGCUAGUUGGUGGGGUAAUGGCCUACCAAGGCGACGAUCAGUAGCUGGUCUGAGAGGAUGAUCAGCCACACUGGGACUGAGACACGGCCCAGACUCCUACGGGAGGCAGCAGUGGGGAAUAUUGGACAAUGGGCGCAAGCCUGAUCCAGCCAUGCCGCGUGAGUGAUGAAGGCCUUAGGGUUGUAAAGCUCUUUUGUCCGGGACGAUAAUGACGGUACCGGAAGAAUAAGCCCCGGCUAACUGCGU
rnacentral:rRNA from 1 species